AUGAGCGUGAUUGCGGCUGCUGUGGGGAAGCAGGUCCUCGACAAGCUGGGCGGCAAGCUUGGCGGCGAGCUGGGCAGCUACGUCGUGUCAGAGGUCACUCUGCAGUGGAGGUACAAAGACGACGUGUUGAAGUUGGGGGAGAAGAUGAAAGAUGUGGAGGCCGUGCUGGGUGAUGCCGACGAGAGGUCGCGUCGAGGAGGACGAGAAGACGGAAGAGUGUACGAGCGGUGGCUUACCAAGUUUAAGCGUGUGGCCUAUGAUGUGGAGGACGUGCUGGAUGAGUUGGAAGCCAACGAGCUCAUCAAGAAGAGCCAACCCAAGGUCAGCUUAUGGUUUUCCAGAAACAAUCAACUCCUGCAGCGAAUGACCAUGCCCCACAAGAUGAAGAAGGUGAUGGAAAAAAUAGACGCAAUUGAAAAGGAGGGCAGAACGAGGCUCAGUCUUGUGCCGCAGGAAGCAAGGGGAGAAGGGAGCAGAAACAAUGAAACACUUGCAGCCAACUGGAAUGUUGCUGGCAUGAAAACUGGAAUGGUGGGCAGGGGUAUCGACAAGGAGAAGAUAAUCAGCCUGCUACUCACAAGUGAAGAAGCUAACCAGGAUAUCUCCAUCAUUCCAGUUGUCGGCCUUGGUGGCAUAGGCAAGACAACAUUGGCUGAAUCAGUUCUUGCAGACAAGAGGGUCAGUGUCUUUGACAUCUCAAUAUGGGUUAAUGUGUCCAUGCAGUUUGAUUUGCACAAAAUUGGGAGUGUCAUCCUGAAAAGAAUGAUGGAUGACACUAUCAACCUUGACAACUGUGAUUUGCAGUUUCAUCGUCUGAAAAAAGAACUUGCUACUAGAAGAUACUUGAUUGUUCUGGAUAAUCUCUGGGAAGAAGAUGGAAAUAAUCUUGAAAGGCUCAAGGAGAUGUUACAGCAUGGCCGAAAGGGCAGCCGUGUUAUAGUAACCACCCGAAACCUACGCGUAGUGCAACAAUUACGCACUGGUUUUCUUGCAAAUGAGAGGAAAAUUUGCCCAGUUCCAGAGUCUGAAAUAAUAGAGUUGGAUGUUUUAGAACCUGGUGACUGUUGGGAAUUAAUGAAGCAAAGGGCAUUUGGGCCUGAUGAUGACCAUACUGGCUUGGAAGAAAUUGGAAAGCAGAUUGCAGCCAAGUGUGGAGGAUUACCGCUCGUGGCAAAUGCUCUUGGGCAAGUAAUGUCAGAGCUAAGGACCGUGGGGGCAUGGGAACAUAUAAGGGACACCAAGGUUGUUUUGGAUUUUCAAGAAGAACAUCAGCAGGAAACAUUAGAGAGUCUAAUGCUGAGCUAUUACUGCAUGAAGAAAGAAUUCAGAAUGUGUUUCACGUACUUGGCAGCCUUCUCCAAGGGCUUUGUCAUGGACAGCAAUCGUCUAAUCCGGCAAUGGAAUGCACUUGGAUACAUUAAUUCAAGGCACGAUGGUCAAAGGUGCAUCAACUACCUUUUGGGGAUGUCCUUUCUUCGGAUUCCAGGAUCCGCUUUGGUUAGUCCAAGUGCAUUGCAUUUCAAAACUCCUCCAGAACUCGUCAUGCAUGAUUUGGUGCAUGAUCUUGUGUCAAGAAUUGUUGUUGAUGACUUCAUUAAUCUCGAUGCUACCAAAAGCACAAGCUGGAACACACCUCAUUACUACCGGCAUGCACAGUUAACCAACUUGAAGAAUGAUCCUAAGGUUUUCAAAUAUAUUCCAGGCAAACUUAGAUCCCUCCAUUUUAGGGAUUUUGGGGGAAUGCAACUCCCGAAAAAGGCAUUUUCUCUGUGCAAGUACAUACGUGUCUUGGACCUAAGUGGACAUUCAGCUAAAGGCCAAUCAGCUCCAAGUAGCGUGGUGCUGCCAUCUUCCAUUAGUCAAUUGAAGCUAAUUCGGUAUCUUGAUGCCACAGGCUUGCCAAUAGCAUCACUUCCUAAGAAUUUUCAUACACUACAAAACAUGGAAACUCUUAUUCUAUCAAAUUCCUUGCUUGAAACCUUACCUGACAUUAUUUGUCGCCUCGGCAAACUUUGCUAUUUGGACCUAUCUGGCAAUAACAGGCUCAGUAAGCUGCCAGCAUCACUAGGGGAGCUCUCUCAACUCUUUUUUCUCAAUCUAUCCGGGUGUUUUAUACUCCAAGAGUUGCCUGAAUCAAUCUGUGAGCUUACAUGCUUACAACACCUAAACAUGUCAGAUUGUUGUGCUCUUCAAAAGCUCCCUGAUAAAUUUGGUAGCCUUCCUAAACUCUCCUUCUUAAACUUGUCAAGUUGUUCAAAGCUCACCAAACUACCUGACAAUAUAAGCCUUCCGUGUUUAGAGCAUCUGAACCUAUUGAGUUGCCAUGAGCUAGAAAACCUGCCAAUUGAUUUUGGCCACCUUCAGAAACUUGAGUUCUUGAACCUCUCUGGUUGCUACAAGGUUUUAAUGCUGCCAGGGUCAUUUUGCCAACUUAAUCAUUUGAAGUACCUAGAUCUUUCAGAUUGUCAUAACCUUGAAAAACUCCCUGACUGUUUUGGUGACCUCGUCGAGCUUCAGUAUUUGAACCUAACAAGUUGUCCUAAACUCCGAGGAUUGCCUGAGUCAGUAUGCAAAUUGUUUAAGCUGAGGUGUCUCUAUUUGUCGUACUGUCUGAGGCUCAGUGAGCUCCCCUCCUCAUUUGGUGACCUUAAGCUUCAAAUACUGCACAUGAAUGGCCUUCUAUAUAUGUAUGACUGCCCUGAUAGCAUUGGUGACAUGACCAGUCUCACUCAGUUUGUGAUUGAUACUGCAACUUCUAAGCUGCUUGAGAAGAUUCCAGCCAUUCAAAAGCGUCUAAAUCUCGUGGGCACAGUAAGGCAUGACAUACAUGAGAUAGAGAGCAGAGGAUGCAGCAGUAUAGUGGACCUUGUGGGAUUGACUUGUUCAGAGCUGAUACUUGCAGGGCUUCAAAAUGUCAGGCAUCCAGAAGAUGCAGACAGAGUCAGACUGCGUGAUAAAUCAGAUAUUCGAUUGCUUAAACUUCUCUGGGAAAACCAAGAAGGUAAAUCAGUGCUGGACAGGCUAGUACCUCCUCGGACUCUUGAACACUUUCAGCUACUCGGGUAUAGCAGCAAGGAUUUCCCUAACUGGAUGUUUCACAUCUCGUCCUAUCUCCCCUUUCUCAGCGAACUAACUCUUAAUGGUUUGGAAGCAUGUGAUUCUCUUCCUCCAUUCGGGGCACUGCCAAAUUUAAGAAUGUUGUGUCUGAAAAACAUUCCCAAUAUUAAGAAAAUCGGUAAGGAAUUCUAUGGAGAGGGCAGACCUUGUAUGAAACUAAGAGUACUGACGCUGAAGUUGAUGAAGAAUUUGGUGGAAUGGUGGACAACAGAGACAGGUGAAGAAAACAAAGAGUUCUUAAUCCCCAAUUUGCAUUUUUUGUUUGUAGUGGACUGUCCAAAGUUGAAGUUCCUACCAUAUCCCCCAAGAAGUAUGAAUUGGGGUUUGAGCAACAGCGACGCAGUUUUGCCAGAACGAGGAUUUGGAAACCUCUCCUCUUAUAUUCAUCCUUCUGAGAUCGUUCUGAAGAGCUGUAGUUUCUCUCAAGACAGGUGGGAUAGUUUUCAACACUUUACCACCCUGGAGAAUUUUUAUGUAUACUCCAUCAGUGGCUUGAGGACUUUGCCAGAGGUCAUGCGGUGCUUCACUUCUCUCACUGGACUAUGGUUGGUGUCGUUGAAUGACCUGGAGACACUCCCGGUAUGGUUGGGUCAGCUCAGUUCUCUAGAACUCUUUCACAUCCACAAUUGCCCUAAGCUGACAUCUCUGCCCGAAAGCAUGAAGAAUCUCACCGCUCUUAGAAAACUGAGGUUGCUACAGUGCAAAGGCCGGGAGAUAUUACCGGAAUGGUUGGGACAGUUGACUUCUCUAGAAGAACUUUUCAUCAGAGAUUGUCCCAGCCUGACAUGUUUGCCUGAAAGCAUACAGAAUCUCUCUGCUUUGAAGCUACUGAGAAUUGUUCGAUGUCCGAGUCUAAUUGCGAGGUGCCAAGGGGAGGAUGCCCACAAGAUUUGUCACAUCCCCAAAGUCGAAUUCAACUGA
rnacentral:rRNA from 1 species